rnacentral:rRNA from 1 species
GAAAGCCCUCGGCUUAACCCGGGGAAUUGCAUCGGAAACUGUUUUUCUUGAGUGCAGAAGAGGAGAGUGGAACUCCAUGUGUAGCGGUGGAAUGCGUAGAUAUAUGGAAGAACACCAGUGGCGAAGGCGGCUCUCUGGUCUGCAACUGACGCUGAGGCUCGAAAGCAUGGGUAGCGAACAGGAUUAGAUACCCUGGUAGUCCAUGCCGUAAACGAUGAGUGCUAAGUAUUGGGAGGUUUCCGCCUCUCAGUGCUGCAGCUAACGCAUUAAGCACUCCGCCUGGGGAGUACGACCGCAAGGUUGAAACUCAAAGGAAUUGACGGGGGCCCGCACAAGCGGUGGAGCAUGUGGUUUAAUUCGAAGCUACGCGAAGAACCUUACCAGGUCUUGACAUCUUGCGCCAACCCUAGAGAUAGGGCGUUUCCUUCGGGAACGCAAAGACAGGUGGUGCAUGGUCGUCGUCAGCUCGUGUCGUGAGAUGUUGGGUUAAGUCCCGCAACGAGCGCAACCCUUGUUACUAGUUGCCAGCAUUAAGUUGGGCACUCUAGUGAGACUGCCGGUGAUAAACCGGAGGAAGGUGGGGACGACGUCAGAUCAUCAUGCCCCUUAUGACCUGGGCUACACACGUGCUACAAUGGACGGUACAACGAGUCGCGAACUCGCGAGGGCAAGCAAAUCUCUUAAAACCGUUCUCAGUUCGGACUGCAGGCUGCAACUCGCCUGCACGAAGUCGGAAUCGCUAGUAAUCGCGGAUCAGCAUGCCGCGGUGAAUACGUUCCCGGGCCUUGUACACACCGCCCGUCACACCAUGAGAGUUUGUAACACCCAAAGUCGGUGGGGUAACCUUUUAGGAGCCAGCCGCCUAAGGUGGGACAGAUGAUUAGGGUGAAGUCGUAACAAGGUAACCGUA